CCUACGGGAGGCAGCAGUGAGGACUAUUGGUCAAUGGGCGAGAGCCUGAACCAGCCAAGUCGCGUGAAGGAUGACGGCCCUACGGGUUGUACACUUCUUUUGUCAGGGAGCAAUUUGGUCCACGCGUGGGCUUAGCGAGAGUACCUGAAGAAAAAGCAUCGGCUAACUCCGUGCCAGCAGCCGCGGUAAUACGGAGGAUGCGAGCGUUAUCCGGAUUUAUUGGGUUUAAAGGGUGCGUAGGCGGAAUAUCAAGUCAGCGGUAAAAAUUCGGGGCUCAACCCCGUCGUGCCGUUGACAAUGAUGUUCUUGAGUUGGCUAGAAGUAUGCGGAAUGCGUGGUGAAGCGGUGCAAUGCAUAGAUAUAAGGCAGAACUCCGAUUGCGAAGGCAGCAUACCGGCGCCCUACUGACGCUGAAGCACGAAAGCGUGGGUAUCGAACAGGAUUAGAUACCCUUGUAGUC
rnacentral:rRNA from 1 species